CGGCUCAGCAUUGUACCCAGGGUCUGCUGCUCAGACAUUGCACCUGGAGCUCCAAUAAAAACCUCUU
rfam:Tinamus guttatus contig43885, whole genome shotgun sequence.